rnacentral:tRNA from 1 species
GGUGGUAUAGCUCAGUGGUAUGCACUCGUGCCUAGUACGCACGAGGUCCUGAGUUCAAUCCCCAGUACCUUCA